CUCUCUCCCAUCUGUUUCCCCCUUCCUUCUCACCCUGUCUCGCCCGAGCCCUCUCUGUCUGCACUCUCUUCCUCCCGCGCUCCUCACUCACCCUCUCUUCGUCUCGCCUUCGGUCCCCCUCACCCUUGCUCUCCCUGUUCCCCCAAAUCGUGUCGUCCCUCUCCCUCUGUCCGUCUCCCCUCUCUGUCUGCACUCUCUCAUUCCCGCAAGCUCUCACGCCCUCUCUCCUGCACUGUCUCCCUCCUUCGCAACUCUCCCGCACUCUCUCUCUCUCCCUACCGCCCUCUCUCCCUACCUCCCUGACAUGGUGCGGUUUGGGUGCGAAUCUGAGUCGCACCCGCGUCGCGUGUGCGGGUCCAAAAACGGCGCACCCUGAUGACAUAUAAUACUCUUACAUUGUCCCUCAGUGAAAAAAAAUUGGCUUCAUCACUGGGUAAAACAAUGGCAACACCAACGGGUAAUGGGUCGACACCAACGUCGACGCCAGCUCAAACUCCAUCCGAGCCAGACCAACAACAAAAGCAGAACCUUAGCAAGGUGCUUAAUUCCAUCCAACAGUCGCUCGGCCUCCUCCAUCAGCUCCAUCUCACUGUCUCCUCCUUCAACAUGGCCUCCCAGCUCCCCCUCCUCCAACGCCUGAAUGAUGUUGUGUUGGAGCUUGAAAUGCUGCAGAAGCUCGCUGAUAGCUGCAACAUACAGGUGCCCAUGGAGGUCGUCAACUUGAUUGACGAUGGGAAGAACCCAGACGAGUUCACCAGAGAUGUCAUCAACAGCUGCAUUGCUAGGAAUCAGGUCACCAAGGGCAAGACGGACGCGUUCAAGAGCCUAAGGAAGCACCUACUAGAGGAACUAGAACAAGCAUUUCCUGAAGAAGUGGAAGUUUAUAGGGAGAUACGUGCAACUUCUGCUGCUUGUUUCAGGUCUAAGGCUUGUCGACGGUGAUUAUUACAACCCUUUUUGAGCUAAGGUGUUUUGCUUAGAGUGCGUCUUCAUUCUGUACUGGGGAUUUUUUUCUCCGAAUUGGAAUAGUUUUCUUGUUGGAGCAUCACUAAAUAUAUGGUCACAAUUUGUUGGAUAUUGGGGCAGCAUCCUUCAGUCUCUCAAGGCCUUAAGCCACAAAUGAAUAAUAAAGAUUAUAUGGUGUCAUUCUUGUGUGUUUUUUGGGACAGACUGGAUUGGAGAAGUCUGAGAUUGAACCAUAAGGUAUUCUUACUGGCGAAGAGGUCAGGUUCCGCCUUGGGCCAAAACUGUCAGAUUGGCGCCUGAUUGUACUCGCCUGGAAGAGUUGAAUGGUCCACGUCCUAUUAAUGGGCAUGUCUGUGUGCAUGAUUCAGCCUAAGUCAAAUGGGGGCAGGAGUCCAAAAGAUUAGCACAGGCACAGAGCAUUUUGCCUAAUGGUGAUAUGAAGAUCAAUUCAGAGCACUGAUUGAUGCUAAGAUGAUGUGUAUACCAUAUUUCAACCACUUUGGUCAGCUGUGCUGCUCUAAGAGGACUAACAAUUGUAUUUUCUGGCUUUAGUUUUAGUCUUGGUUGUUUCUUCCUGUAUUUCGGUGUCAUGUAUUGUCUCUGCCUGCCAAUUAUCUCACAUAUAAGUUUACCAAAAUGACAAAAUUACUCCGCCAUGUAUGAUUUUACAAAUGGGAUGUUGUGUGCAUCACUUGUCUAAAUUGCAGAAAACUGCCACAACAAUAGGCAUCUACAAUAAACUACAACCUUCGAGUACUGCAGCAACCA